UACGUAGGUCCCGAGCGUUGUCCGGAUUUAUUGGGUUUAAAGGGUGCGUAGGCGGACGCUUAAGUCAGCGGUAAAAUUGCGGGGCUCAACCUCGUCGAGCCGUUGAAACUGGGUGUCUUGAGUGGGCGAGAAGUACGCGGAAUGCGUGGUGUAGCGGUGAAAUGCAUAGAUAUCACGCAGAACUCCGAUUGCGAAGGCAGCGUACCGGCGCCCAACUGACGCUGAAGCACGAAGGCGUGGGUAUCGAACAGG
rnacentral:rRNA from 1 species